rnacentral:rRNA from 1 species
GAGUUUGAUCGUGGCUCAGAUUGAACGCUGGCGGCAGGCCUAACACAUGCAAGUCGGGCGGUAGAGAGGAGCUUGCUUCUCUUGAGAGCGGCGGACGGGUGAGUAAUGCCUAGGAAUCUGCCUGGUAGUGGGGGAUAACGCUCGGAAACGGACGCUAAUACCGCAUACGUCCUACGGGAGAAAGCAGGGGACCUUCGGGCCUUGCGCUAUCAGAUGAGCCUAGGUCGGAUUAGCUAGUUGGUGAGGUAAUGGCUCACCAAGGCGACGAUCCGUAACUGGUCUGAGAGGAUGAUCAGUCACACUGGAACUGAGACACGGUCCAGACUCCUACGGGAGGCAGCAGUGGGGAAGAUUGGACAAUGGGCGAAAGCCUGAUCCAGCCAUGCCGCGUGUGUGAAGAAGGUCUUCGGAUUGUAAAGCACUUUAAGUU